rnacentral:rRNA from 1 species
GGGGGAUAUUGCGCAAUGGGGGCAACCCUGACGCAGCAACGCCGCGUGAAGGAUGAAGGUUUUCGGAUUGUAAACUUCUUUUAUUAAGGACGAAAAAUGACGGUACUUAAUGAAUAAGCUCCGGCUAACUACGUGCCAGCAGCCGCGGUAAUACGUAGGGAGCAAGCGUUGUCCGGAUUUACUGGGUGUAAAGGGUGCGUAGGCGGCUUUGCAAGUCAGAUGUGAAAUCUAUGGGCUCAACCCAUAAACUGCAUUUGAAACUGUAGAGCUUGAGUGAAGUAGAGGCAGGCGGAAUUCCCCGUGUAGCGGUGAAAUGCGUAGAGAUGGGGAGGAACACCAGUGGCGAAGGCGGCCUGCUGGGCUUUAACUGACGCUGAGGCACGAAAGCGUGGGUAGCAAACAGGAUUAGAUACCCUGGUAGUCCACGCUGUAAACGAUGAUUACUAGGUGUGGGGGGUCUGACCCCUUCCGUGCCGGAGUUAACACAAUAAGUAAUCCACCUGGGGAGUACGGCCGCAAGGUUGAAACUCAAAGGAAUUGACGGGGGCCCGCACAAGCAGUGGAGUAUGUGGUUUAAUUCGAAGCAACGCGAAGAACCUUACCAGGUCUUGACAUCCAACUAACGAAGUAGAGAUACAUUAGGUGCCCUUCGGGGAAAGUUGAGACAGGUGGUGCAUGGUUGUCGUCAGCUCGUGUCGUGAGAUGUUGGGUUAAGUCCCGCAACGAGCGCAACCCUUGCUAUUAGUUGCUACGCAAGAGCACUCUAAUAGGACUGCCGUUGACAAAACGGAGGAAGGUGGGGACGACGUCAAAUCAUCAUGCCCCUUAUGACCUGGACUACACACGUACUACAAUGGAUGUUAACAGAGGGAAGCAAGACAGCGAUGUGGAGCAAACCCCUAAAAACAUUCUCAGUUCAGAUUGCAGGCUGCAACCCGCCUGCAUGAAGAUGGAAUUGCUAGUAAUCGCGGAUCAGCAUGCCGCGGUGAAUACGUUCCCG